AUGAACGUGGGACUCUUCACAUCACGUGGUAUAGGACCUAAUUCACCAGGUUCACCUCUCUCCCCGCACCGGAACUCAAACGCUGACCUUCUCCUCCCGCCCUGCCCUAGCUGUGCCUGCGUGCCCUGCUCCUGUGGAAGAAAGCUGCAUCUUUUCCAAGAAGAGUUGCUGUCUUGCUCAGAUGAAAGGCGUGAAGCCAGGCUGAGGGAAGGUUUGAAGGAGGUGUCCACAGGGCUGGGCCGAAUCAGCACGCCGAGGAGUGCAGGCUGAAGCUGGUGUGCAGCCGUAUUCCGUGCCUGCACGGUGUCAUUGAUCUUCUCGGGAAGUGACGUACGAAAGGCUGGACUGGGCCUUCCUCAGGACUGGUGUCCUGUCCGGGUGACCAAGUUUACAGGCACUUCCUGCGUUUUCUUCCUGUUUUACUCUUUUGUGUUGACCUGCUCCUCCCUCCUUCGCCUCCUCCUGUUGGCAUUCUAGUUUGUGAGUGCUGUAAAGGGGCAGAUGAGGGAUUGGUGAUAGUAAUAAGAUGAAAUAGAAAAAACAAACACACAAACAAAAACCCUACAACUUGGGCUUUUGUUCUAGGGAAAAAUGCGAAUCAAUAGCAGUAGUGCCACUUCGAUAAAUCAGCUUUUAUUAUAACAGAUUCAAUCAUGUACAGCUGGUGAACUGAAAGACAAAACCCUAUGCUAAGAGAUCCUGGACAACCUAGGCUUGUUGGAUUUCUUUUCUUUUUUUUUUUAAGAGUUUAUUUAUUAUUUAUUUGAGAGGUAGAGUUACAGACAGUGAGAAGGGGAAAGACAGAGAGAGAGAGAGAAUGAGAGAGAAAGCGGAAGGUCAUCCAUCCACUGUUCACCCCCCAAAUGGUUGCAACGGCUGGAGCUGAGUCGAUCCAAAGCCAGGAUCCAGGACUCCCAAGUGGGAGGCUGAAACAAAUGAUUUAAAAGGGGUCCCUGAGAUUACUGAUGCCAUAGACAGGAGUGUCAAUUGGUAAAGUCAACAACAGGAGUCACUGUGCACCUACUCCUCAUGUAGGAUCUCUAUCCUUAAUGUGCUGUACAUUGAGAUUUAAUGCUAUAACGAGUACUCAAACAAUAUAUUUCACUUUGUGUUUCUAUGGGGGUGCAAACUGUUGAAAUCCUUACUUAAUGAAUACUAAACUGAUCCUCUGUAAAAAAAAAAAAAAAAAAAAAAAAAGAAAGAAAUUAUCAAUUCCCAACUUGACUCUCACUGGGAUUAAACAUGACAAUAGGUCUGCUCUGAUUUCAUCAUCAUUUAAAAAAAAUCAUCUAUUAUUUUUCACUUUAUGUUUCUGUGUGGGAGCAAACUGUUGAAAUCCAUACUUAAUGUAUACUAAGCUGAGAAUCCAUAUAUUAAGAUAAUCGAAAAUGAAUCUUGAUGUGAAUGGAAGGGGAGAGGGAGUGGGAAAGGGGAGGGUUGUGGGUGGGAGGGACGGUAUGGGGGGGAAGCCAUUGUAAUCCAUAAGUCGUACUUUGGAAAAUUAUAUGCAUUAAAUAAAAGUUUAAAAAAAAAAAGGGGUCCCUGGAUU
ensembl:lncRNA